rnacentral:rRNA from 1 species
GAUGACCUUUGGCGGCGUGCUUAACACAUGCAAGUCGAACGAAGCUGCUUAACAGAUCUUCUUCGGAAUUGACGUUUUGUAGACUGAGUGGCGGACGGGUGAGUAACGCGUGGGUAACCUGCCCUGUACAGGGGGAUAACAGUCAGAAAUGACUGCUAAUACCGCAUAAGACCACAGCACCGCAUGGUGCAGGGGUAAAAACUCCGGUGGUACAGGAUGGACCCGCGUCUGAUUAGCUGGUUGGUGAGGUAACGGCUCACCAAGGCGACGAUCAGUAGCCGGCUUGAGAGAGUGAACGGCCACAUUGGGACUGAGACACGGCCCAAACUCCUACGGGAGGCAGCAGUGGGGAAUAUUGCACAAUGGGGGAAACCCUGAUGCAGCGACGCCGCGUGAGUGAAGAAGUAUCUCGGUAUGUAAAGCUCUAUCAGCAGGGAAGAAAAUGACGGUACCUGACUAAGAAGCCCCGGCUAACUACGUGCCAGCAGCCGCGGUAAUACGUAGGGGGCAAGCGUUAUCCGGAAUUACUGGGUGUAAAGGGUGCGUAGGUGGUAUGGCAAGUCAGAAGUGAAAACCCAGGGCUUAACUCUGGGACUGCUUUUGAAACUGUCAGACUGGAGUGCAGGAGAGGUAAGCGGAAUUCCUAGUGUAGCGGUGAAAUGCGUAGAUAUUAGGAGGAACAUCAGUGGCGAAGGCGGCUUACUGGACUGAAACUGACACUGAGGCACGAAAGCGUGGGGAGCAAACAGGAUUAGAUACCCUGGUAGUCCACGCCGUAAAC